CAAGGCGGUGACGGGUAGCCGGCCUGAGAGGGUGGGCGGCCACACUGGGACUGAGACAUGGCCCAGACUCCUGCGGGAGGCAGCAGUGGGGGAUAUUGCACAAUGGGCGCAAGCCUGAUGCAGCGACGCCGCGUGAGGGACGGAGGCCUUCGGGUCGUGAACCUCUUUCGCCAGCGGAGAAGGUCCUGCCCGUGUGGUGGGGCUGACGGUAGCUGGGUAAGAAGCGCCGGCUAACUACGUGCCAGCAGCCGCGGUAAUACGUAGGGCGCUAGCGUUGUCCGGAGUUACUGGGCGUAAAGGGCUUGUAGGCGGCUGGUCGCGCCUGCCGUGAAAUGCCCCGGCUCAACCGGGGGAGUGCGGUGGGUACGGGCCGGCUUGAGUGCGGUAGGGGAGGCCGGAACUCCUGGUGUAGCGGUGGAAUGCGCAGAUAUCAGGAGGAACACCGGUGGCGAAGGCGGGUCUCUGGGCCGUUACUGACGCUGAGGAGCGAAAGCGUGGGGAGCGAACAGGAUUAGAUACCCUGGUAGUCCACGCCGUAAACGUUGGGCACUAGGUGUGGGGGCUCUUUUCCGUGGCGCCCGCGCCGCAGCUAACGCAUUA
rnacentral:rRNA from 1 species